ensembl:lncRNA
CAAACAUCCAUUCUACCGUCUCCUUUUAAACUUUAUCAGGAAUUCAGUUGUAGCCUAUAUCAAUGACUUCUUCUCUGGUGAAAACCUAACUUUACUUUAUUAUCUAAAACUGCAUCAGAAAGGGACAGACAUCUACUGUGUCCUCUUAGAUGGCUUCAGGGGUUCACUUGUACACUCUUAGAAAAAGGGUGCUAUCUAGGACCUAAAAUGUUUCUUUGGUUGUCCCCAUAGCAGAACCCCUUGAAGAACCCUUUUUGGUUCCAGGUAAAAACCUUUUAAGUUCCAUGUAGGACCCUUUCCACAGAGGAUUCUACAUGGAAAGCAAAAAGGUUCUACAUGAAACCAAAAAGGUUUCUCCGUGGAACCAAAAAAGGUUAUCCUAUGGGGACAGCUGAAGAACCCUUUAGGAACCUUUUUGAGUGUUUCUCUUCAUGUCUAUAACAGAAGAAGAGGUCUGAGAUAUCAUUAUUUAGUCCAUCUACGGUGUGGAGGACUAGAGAAGAAAAAAUACAUUUGCUUUCAGUAGUCAUUGACCUGAAGAAGGCGGCCAGAUUGGUUUUGGCAUGGUUGUAGUUUUACUGACAUGUCUGUGAAUCAAGCCCUUACCCCUCGCUCUGCGCUGCUCUUGUGGUCUUAUUUUUCACAAUACUCAAUACACUAUGUGGCAGCUAUUGCAGAGGGAGAACAUCAUUCCCCACUUGAACAGGGGAUACAGUACAUCCCUCAUCUGGACUAAAUGUUGCAAUCCCAUACCAAGCAGUGAUUUGGCUAGCUAAUGGCCUGUUAUAUUACUCUCAGGAGACCCUGUGUGAAUUAGAAUGGAGAGUAAGUAAAUUAGUCCUGAGUUUAAUGCAGGGACACAUGGCCAUAAUUUAGAUAACAACCCAAAUGCUGCUCAAACCUAUUAGGCCCUACACAGGGAACAUAAUAGGAUCAUUUAAUGGGAGGUUUCUGGCAGAGACAAAAUGGCUUUAAAGUUUUAUAUAUUUGCUUAUAUAGUUUUAUGUUGGAGUAGGAAUGUUGUGUCUGACUGAAACUCGUCUUUGUUUAGGUUUGUUGCUCCACACCUCAUGUUUGUAAGACGUCAGCAGUUUUUCUGUCUGUCAAAUACAAUGCAAUGUCUAGCAAAUCUUUAAAUGGAACACAACUACGCAUAGAAUCCCUCCAGUAUGACUACCCAGCUAGGAAUGUACUCUAUGCAGAUAUAUCCUAUUUUAUUUGCUCCGGGAACAUAUUCAUAUAAACAGUUCAUUGUGUAAUCAUGUGCUUGCUUAAAUUGCUCAGAGAUAACAGUUUUGCAUAUUAAGUGGAGCAAAUGAAAGUGCUACGUUUGCAAAUACUACAUCUUUUUAUGUUUCAAAUCCUCCUUCCUCAGAGAAAUUCCUCCCCAGACGUAAAUGUCCUGUCCAUUGUAUAAUGAUAAUGUUUGUUUGCUCCAGUUUGAAGUACAUCCCUAAGGUUCUGCACGUUUCAUUAGACACUACAUGCACAUAAAAAACUGCAGGACUGUCAAAUCUGAGCUCAAACAGUACCUUAGCAAAGCAUACAAUGCAGUUCAACUCCAAACCACUAUACCUGUAUUGUAGUGUAAUGUUUUCAUAAACAGGAAACGCUAUGUUUAGACAUCCAUUUGCUAUCCAGCCUAGAACACAGGAGAGAAACAGGUUACUCUGGUGAAGAGAUGAGAAUGAAAUGUCACGAGGGUGUUUAGUGGGUGAAUCUGUGGAUGAACCCUAUUUAGUGCAUGAGUCUGACCUGACAGCUCAUAUUUGCUAAUAAAGACCUAAUCUG